AGAGUUUGAUCCUGGCUCAGGACGAACGCUGGCGGCGUGCUUAACACAUGCAAGUCGAGCGGUAAGGCCUCUUCGGAGGUACACGAGCGGCGAACGGGUGAGUAACACGUGAGCAACCUACCUCCAACUUCGGGAUAAGCCUCGGAAACGGGGUCUAAUACCGGAUAUCACCUCCGUUCUCAUGGGUGGGGGUUGAAAGUUCUGGCGGUUGGGGAUGGGCUCGCGGCCUAUCAGCUUGUUGGUGGGGUAAUGGCCUACCAAGGCGUCGACGGGUAGCCGGCCUGAGAGGGCGACCGGCCACACUGGGACUGAGACACGGCCCAGACUCCUACGGGAGGCAGCAGUGGGGAAUAUUGCGCAAUGGGCGAAAGCCUGACGCAGCAACGCCGCGUGAGGGAUGACGGCCUUCGGGUUGUAAACCUCUUUCAGCAGGGACGAAGCGAGAGUGACGGUACCUGCAGAAGAAGGACCGGCCAACUACGUGCCAGCAGCCGCGGUAAUACGUAGGGUCCGAGCGUUGUCCGGAAUUAUUGGGCGUAAAGGGCUCGUAGGCGGUUCGUCACGUCGGGAGUGAAAACUCGGAGCUCAACUCCGAGCCUGCUUCCGAUACGGGCAGACUAGAGGUAGGCAGGGGAGAGCGGAACUCCUGGUGUAGCGGUGGAAUGCGCAGAUAUCAGGAAGAACACCGGUGGCGAAGGCGGCUCUCUGGGCCUUACCUGACGCUGAGGAGCGAAAGCGUGGGUAGCGAACAGGAUUAGAUACCCUAGUAGUCC
rnacentral:rRNA from 1 species